rnacentral:lncRNA from 1 species
UGCCACCUUAAAAAUCACAUUCCUCUUAAUGUAAAUCACAGCUUAAAUGUUUGUUGUUUUGUUGUUGUUUGGUUGACCUUUUCUUUCUUUCUUUUUUUUUUUUUUCAUUGACAUUGUAAAUGCACCCUAUUCUCAUCCAUACUUGCUUUGCAUUGUACCAGCUAAACAUCCCGCCAGAUCCUUUUAACCUUUUGGAAAGUGCUGAAUCUGUGGGUAAUUUUCAUGUAGCUGUGGUCCUCUGACUCCUUCCCUAUGACCUUGAAGUUCAACAUAAGUUGCAUGUCAGCACAGCCAAGUCUUCACAAACAAGUUGCUAUGCUCAUCUGACCCCAAACUGAAGGAUGCCCCCCACCUUUUUCCACAACAGGAAAAUAUGCCCUUAGGCAUAUAUCUACCCUCACGCAUAUUUCUACCCUCACACUUAGUAUGCUGCCAAAACCACAUUUGCCUCCCUGCAUCCAGAAAAUGCUGCACUCAGCCAUCCUGGGGUGGAUGAGCUCAGAUGGCACAAAGCACUUAAGGACACUGCAGUACGGUGAGGUAAGAGGAUAACCUGGGAUAAAUGGUUAAAUUGUUUUUUAAGUAGCUUAAUUAUUUCUAACUCAUCCAUGUAGCAAAUUAUUGUAACUGGUUACAUGAAGACAGUGACAGAACUUUAGUGGCCACAAUCACUAACCAAAGUCUUGGUGAACAAAGGUGUAGUUGAGCCAGUACCAGUGAUUGUUCUUUCUGUGUAAAACAUGGGAAAAAUAUUUAAUAUACUUUAUUGUUAGCUUAUAUCCCUGUGGUGGAAAACCAACGAAGUAUUAUUGGGUGUGUAACUUUUAAAUGUAUUUUUCUUCUUUUCUGCCAAUGUUGUGGGAAGAGUAAGUAGCUUUCAAAGAUUCUGGUCUUUGACUUCAGCUUCCUCAAAUCCCAAAGCAGACUUUUUCAAUUCUAGUAAAAUUAUCUUCAUUUUUCAAACCUUGCUUUAUCUGUAUGGCUGGCGAUUACCUCAGCUCUGUAUUUCACCAAAAAUAAGAUUACUUUUAUACAGUUAGUAUAAAGACAUUAGUAUGUCUGCAAGAAAAAUAGACUUUAGUUAAUAAUGUAUCUAUGGAAAUUAUGUUAAUGUAGCUUACUGCAUUACCUCUACAUCAGUAGUAAUUUACAUUAAUAAUUAGAAAUUGAAGUUGUGACUAGAUUCUGAGCAAGAGAAAGUGGCUUUUGAUUUGAACCCAAACGGCUAAAAGGCAUUUCCUUUAAUUUUGGAUCAACUGUCAAAAAAGCAAGAUUAAAACCCAUACUAUAUAAUUUCCUCUGCUCCCUCGAACACUGGAUGUUGACAUUAUUCCAUCCCAAUUUAUCAAGAGUUAUUUUUCUACUAUAUGUAAUAAUGAUGACACUCCUUUUUUCAAGAUUUUAUGUUUUGCGUGAGUGAGUAUGCACAUGCAGAUAUGGACAAUUUCAUGCACAUAGUGUGAGACUGGGUUUCUGUCUGUAUCAAUCUGUGCUUUAUGAUGAAUUUUACCUUUAGAGAUUUCUCUGAGUAUCCUCAGUUUCUUUCUAGAAU